rnacentral:rRNA from 1 species
AGCGAACGCUGGCGGCAGGCCUAACACAUGCAAGUCGAACGAACCUUUCGGGGUUAGUGGCGGACGGGUGAGUAACACGUGGGAACGUGCCUUUAGGUUCGGAAUAACUCAGGGAAACUUGUGCUAAUACCGAAUGUGCCCUUCGGGGGAAAGAUUUAUCGCCUUUCGAGCGGCCCGCGUCUGAUUAGCUAGUUGGUUGAGGUAAUGGCUCACCAAGGCGACGAUCAGUAGCUGGUCUGAGAGGAUGAUCAGCCACAUUGGGACUGAGACACGGCCCAAACUCGGACGGGAGGCAGCAGUGGGGAAUCUUGCGCAGUGGGCGAAAGCCUGACGCAGCCAUGCCGCGUGAAUGAUGAAGGGGUUAGGAUUGUAAAAUUCUUUCGACGGGGACGAUAAUGACGGUACCCGAAGAAGAAGCCCCGGCUAACUUCGU